GCGGCUCCCACUCCACUUCUGGCUGUACAGCACCAAGGGCUAACCCUCCUGAAAUGAGCCCUUUCUGCUCAGAGAAAAGCCCCAUCUCUGGCUGAGGGCAGACAAUUCCUCCUUCCUGAGGGCCCUGUGAAGCUGCGUGCUGCCUAAGCAUAGCAAAGAUUUUGUUGUUGUUUUUUGUUUUCCUCUCCUUCUCAGUGCCUACAGAGCCAAAGGGCCUGUUUGUUUUCCUUUUAGUUAUCAGAAAGGUUUAUUUGCAAUUGCUUGAGAGGGGAAAAAGCUCUCUGUAGCCACAGGCAGACAAGCUCAGUGCUCAGGAACAUAAUGGCUGGAGCCUGCAGGCCCAUAUGCUCGCCAUCCUGCGAGGUGGAAGGCCAGCUCCGAUCAUCUCUAGCUGCUCAGGAUACAAUUGAUCAGGGUCUCCUAAACACUCCAACCUUUUCCAGCCCACUAUUACUUGAUGCAGAAGCACAGACCGCUAAUAGCAUGAGAUGAAUAAGGCAGAUCCAGACAGCCAUCCACAGUUCCUGACCAGCUAAAGUGCUCUUACAAGAUUCCCAGCUCAGCAGAGGACCACACCAUGAUGCUUAUGGAUGCAUCCAGCUCUCAGUUAAUUCUACAAACUGCCUAGGCACCUACAUGCCAUUUUCUUUGGACAAGCAUCUACAUCAGGUGCUGCAACCCCUUAGGCAGGCAUGUAAACUAGGUAUUACAGUAUGAGACUGGACUUCCAAUCCUGAAUUUGAAGCUGUCCUGCAAGAUGAUUUUGAAGACACUUCAUCUCUGAGUGCCUCUCUUCAAAAUGCUAAGACAGGUAACAUUCACAGCACAUUGGAAGUAAGACAGCAAUUAGUUCUGGGUGCUUGUGAAUAAAAAGUGCUUUACUGAAGACACUAAGAGACUCAAUAAAUGAGCUGCUAAAUGAAUCUGAAGACCUACUGCAUAAUUUGGCUAAGUUAUAUGAUAGAAUUAGAAGGUAAAAUGAAGCAGAUGUCUUGGUCGCUGUUGUGACUCCACGGAAAUAAAUUCUUGUUACCAGUAAACAAUAACAAGAGAACCUGUCUUUAGUCUGCCACAAAACAAACAAACAAAUAAACAAAACUCUGUUAAAAUCUUUUUGAUGUCGCUUCAAGCAAAGUGUGAAAAACCUGCCUUGGUGACAGCUCUCCCCAUCUCCGGAGCCAAGCUCUGCAGACAGCCAAUAUCAUGUGUGUCCACAUAUGAUGAAUCUAACUUGGGCGUGAAAUUUUCAUUAGUUCUUGAGCAGUGCACAGAUGCAGGGUUUGACCAAUCUAAUAAGCUAACACAUACCACUGCCUGGCUGGUUAUAGCUGCAAAAAAAAGCUAAGAAAGGAAUCUGGUUGAUCCUGUAAAUAUACAUGUAUAUUUUUUCAUCCUACGCUACAACAGCAUUACCAGAUCUUUUUUCCAGUUCUUUUAGAACAGAGAAGAGAAUGCUGCAGGCCAGUAACUUGAGAAGAUCUUUGUUUCCCUCUAUAAUUUCUCUAGAUACAAUAAAAAUGAUUUUAUCAGUGAGAAACGACUCCAGUUUGUUCUUCAGCAGAACAACUUCUAGAGGAAGUCCUGAAAAGACAUAAAGCAAGGGUGUUUGUUUUUGUUUUCUGAAUAGAAACUGCCAGAAAAAUUCUCAAGCUCUCUAAUACAUGAGAAAUCUUAAGUAACAUCAACAUCUCUUAGAACUCUGAGCUGGAAUUAAAGACCAUAGAAAAGACUCUUCAGAGUACAGUAAACUGGCAGUUCAGUUCAUCUCACAAGUAUGGUGCCCAUAAGAGCUGAAAACCUGCAAAGAACCCAUUAAAACUAAGUUCUCCCUUCUGUGCGUUCUUACCCCAAGCAUAGCACUAUGCAUAACAGAAAAAGGAUAGCACCCACUCCCAAGAAAUUAAAUCCCUUGAUAGCCUUUGAAACAUUUGAAUGUCAUAUUAAUGUAUCUUAUACUCUUAGCCCCUGAUCUCCCAGCAUUACCAAGAAGGUAGUAACAGCAGACUAUAUAAACACAGAACAAUUUUUUAUGCUCCUAUUGCAUCAUAGCUCUGGACACUAGAAAAUUCCUUAAAAAGAAAAUAUUUGCAUCUCAAUGAAAGGAAAAAUAAAGUCACCAUCACCUCAAGAUAGGAAGAAUUUUUGCUGAUGUAAGGAUAAAAGUAACCCAUAGAUUGAAAAAGAGCAAGUUUUGUCUUGAUAACAUUUGAACAAAAACACUUGUACUUGAAAUAUCCAAACCAGGGGCAUGUUUCCCAGCAAGGAAUCCUGUCUGUCGCUGAUAUAUAAAGGUCUAGGGCUUUCUUUUCUAAACACUAAGAUAACAUUCAGAAGAUGAUUCAACAUACAACAGUCCAGUUUCACUGCACAAGUCUUCACACAGCUGGACCAACAGCCCGCUCAGAGGCAAACCACAGAGAGAAAGCCUGGGAGUUCCAUGAGUAGUAAUGGAGCACCCUUUGCAGCUCCUUGCAGAACACUCAUUUCCUUGCUGACAAGCACCGCCUGCGAUCUGCAGGAACGACUCGGGUUCUUUUGCCCACGAAGCCGCCCGUUUGCCCUUGCUCGCGCCGCGCAGCCACGCAGGACCAUGGACAGCAGUCCCGCGGCGUGGCGCGGCGCUCGGCCGCCCCGGAGCCCCGGCACCCGGCAGCUUCCAGCCAUUUUUAAUUAAUUAACCUCGGCUA